rnacentral:snRNA from 1 species
AUCGCUUUUUGGCCUGUUGGCCAAAAUCAGUGUAGCAUCUAUUUUUAUCAGCUUAAUAUCUGAUAUGUCUUCUAUCUAAGAACAGUAUUUUAAAUGGAUUUUUUGGAGCAGGGAGAUGGAAUAGGAAUUUGCCCCNNNNNNN